UACGGGGGGGGCAAGCGUUGUUCGGAAUUACUGGGCGUAAAGGGCUCGUAGGUUGCCAACUAAGUCAGACGUGAAAUCCCUCGGCUUAACCGGGGAACUGCGUCUGAUACUGGAUGGCUUGAGUUCGGGAGAGGGAUGCGGAAUUCCAGGUGUAGCGGUGAAAUGCGUAGAUAUCUGGAGGAACACCGGUGGCGAAGGCGGCGUCCUGGACCAAUUCUGACACUGAGGAGCGAAAGCCAGGGGAGCAAACGGG
rnacentral:rRNA from 1 species